rnacentral:snoRNA from 1 species
UAUUUCUUCUCAAAUUUUUGUUCCAAUAUUUUAGUAAUCCUUAUUUUUUUAAUAAUCAUAGCAGAGUACACACAAGAAGAAAAGUAACUGACCCAGAUCCCAAAGACUGGGGUGGACCGCUUUCUUAAUGGCCAGCGACCCUUGUCUUAAGAUUUGGUGUAAUAAAA